UACGUAGGGUGCGAGCGUUGUCCGGAAUUACUGGGCGUAAAGAGCUCGUAGGUGGUUUGUCGCGUUGUCCGUGAAAACUCACAACUCAAUUGUGGGCGGUGCGGGCGAUACGGGCAGACUGGAGUACUGCAGGGGAGACUGGAAUUCCUGGUGUAGCGGUGGAAUGCGCAGAUAUCAGGAGGAACACCGAUGGCGAAGGCAGGUCUCUGGGCAUUAACUGACGCUGAGGAGCGAAAGCAUGGGGAGCGAACAGG
rnacentral:rRNA from 1 species